UACGUAGGGUGCAAGCGUUAAUCGGAAUUACUGGGCGUAAAGCGUGCGCAGGCGGUUGUGCAAGACAGAUGUGAAAUCCCCGGGCUCAACCUGGGAAUGGCGAUGGUGACUGCAAGGCUAGAGUUUGGCAGAGGGGGGUAGAAUUCCGACGUGUAGCAGUGAAAUGCGUAGAGAUGUGGAGGAACACCGAUGGCGAAGGCAGCCCCCUGGGUCAAAACUGACGCUCAUGCACGAAAGCGUGGGGAGCAAACAGG
rnacentral:rRNA from 1 species